rnacentral:sRNA from 1 species
GCCAGGCAUGGUGGCACACGCCUGUAAUCCCAGCGGCUCAGGAGGCUGAGGCAGGAAGAUUGCAAGUUCAAAGCCAGCCUCAACAAAAGCAACUCAGUAAGACCCUGUCUCUA